rnacentral:misc_RNA from 1 species
CCAGCAGUGGAGUUUGGUGUUUGCCUGAGAACAGCAUCUGCAGAAGGAUUAUAAGUCUUGGCAGGAGUAAUCAAUCCUCCAGCUCCCUUCUUUCGAUCCUUGUCAUAAACUUCUAUCUUUGGUUUGCCUUUAGCAGAUCCAGCAGAACGACUCAAUUCUCUACCUUCAAGAUUCCUUAACCGUGCUUCAAGCUUGGCUCGGUUUUCCAGUCCCAGAGAGUUAUCUUGCCCAUCUCCAAGAGCAUCAUAUCGAAUUGC